rnacentral:rRNA from 1 species
UCUACGGAGAGUUUGAUCCUGGCUCAGGACGAACGCUGGCGGCGUGCUUAACACAUGCAAGUCGAGCGAGAGCCUGGAAGCUUGCUUCCAGGGGACAGCGGCGAACGGGUGCGUAACACGUGGGCAACCUGCCCCUCUCACUGGGAUAACCCCGGGAAACCGGAGCUAAUACCGGAUACUCCGGCUGGAUCGCAUGGUCCGGCCGGGAAAGGUCCGCCGGAGAGGGAUGGGCCCGCGGCCUAUCAGCUUGUUGGUGAGGUAACGGCUCACCAAGGCGUCGACGGGUAGCUGGUCUGAGAGGACGACCAGCCACACUGGAACUGAGAUACGGUCCAGACUCCUACGGGAGGCAGCAGUGGGGAAUAUUGCGCAAUGGGCGAAAGCCUGACGCAGCGACGCCGCGUG